rnacentral:rRNA from 1 species
AUGAACUUGCUGGCGAUAUAUAGGUCCGGAUUCAAGUGUUCAAAAUGCAACAAGUCAUUCACCAGCAAAGAUGUCUUCUUGGAUCUCACUGUCACCUCAGGAAUGAAAGAAUACAGUGAACUCAAGCCUGCCAGAACCGAGCUGUUCAGGAGCCCGCUCGUCUCCUUUCUUUACGAGAGGGGGUGGCGUCAGAACUUCAAUCGGAGUGGCUUCCCUGGCCGCGAUGAAGAGUUCCAAAUGGCUCAAGACUAUUUCCAAUCAGUCGCUGGUGGUAUACUCGUUGAUGUCAGCUGUGGCAGUGGCUUGUUUUCAAGGAAGUUUGCAAGCUCUGGGGCAUACUCAUCUGUGAUUGCUUUGGACUUUUCUGAGAAUAUGCUCCGCCAAUGCUAUGACUACAUCAAACAAGAAGAAACCCCUAUGAACACGAACCUCGCACUUGUAAGGGCUGAUAUUUCGAGGCUCCCUUUUGCUUCAUGUUCAAUUGAUGCCAUUCAUGCUGGAGCCGCUAUCCACUGUUGGCCAUCCCCUUCAAAUGCGAUAGCUGAAAUCAGCCGUGUGCUGAAGCCCGGUGGUGUAUUUGUAGCGACAACCUUCUUAUCCACCCCCACGAACAGCGGCCCGUUCUCUAUUGACGCACUAAGGCCACUGAGACAGAUUGUUGGGCCAGUGAACAGCAGCUACAACUUCUUCACCGAAGGAGAGCUGGAAGACCUGUGCACAUCCUGUGGCCUGAUCAACUACAGCAGCAAGGUGCAGAGGUCAUUCAUCAUGUUCUCCGGGCAAAAGCCAUAG